UACGUAGGGGGCAAGCGUUGUCCGGAUUUAUUGGGCGUAAAGAGCUCGUAGGCGGUUUGGUAAGUCUGGUGUGAAAUCUCCACGCUCAACGUGGAGGGGCCACCCGAUACUGCCAUGACUGGAGUCCGGUAGAGGAGUGUGGAAUUCCCGGUGUAGCGGUGAAAUGCGUAGAGAUGUGGAGGAACACCAGUGGCGAAGGCGACUCUUUGGUCUGUAACUGACGCUGAGGCGCGAAAGCGUGGGGAGCAAACAGG
rnacentral:rRNA from 1 species